CCCUUAGAUGUUCUGGGCCGCACGCGUGCUACACUGAUGCAUACAGCGAGUACUCCCAGCUCCGCGAGGCUGCUGGUAAUCAGCAAUAUGCAUCGUGAUGGGGAUAGAUCUUUGGAAUUAUAGAUCUUGAACGAGGAAUUCCUAGUAAACGCAAGUCAUCACCUUGCGUUGACUAAGUCCCUGCCCUUUGUACACACCGCCCGUCGCUCCUACCGAUUUCGAGUGAUCCGGUGAAUCAUUCGGACCGCGUGGGCUUGACCUAACGUGGAAAGUCUAGUAAACCAUAUCACUUAGAGGAAGGAGAAGUCGUAACA
rnacentral:rRNA from 1 species